UACGUAGGGUGCAAGCGUUGCCCGGAUUUAUUGGGCGUAAAGGGCGCGCAGGCGGCCGAGCACGUCCGUUGUGAAAUCGCCUGGCUCAACUGGGCGGGGUCAGCGGAUACGGCUAGGCUGGAGCAAGCUAGGGGGCAAUGGAAUUCCCGGUGUAGUGGUGGAAUGCGUAGAUAUCAGGAGGAACACCGAUGGCGAAGGCAGGUCUCUGGGCUGACACUGACGCUCAUGCACGAAAGCGUGGGGAGCAAACAGG
rnacentral:rRNA from 1 species